GAUGAAGAACGCAGCGAAUUGCGAUAAGUAAUGUGAAUUGCAGAUUUUCAGUGAAUCAUCGAAUCUUUGAACGCACAUUGCGCCCUUUGGUAUUCCUUAGGGCAUGCCUGUUCGAGCGUCAUUUAAACCUUCAAGCUAAGCUUGGUGUUGGGUGACUGUCCGCUUCACGGCGGACUCGCCUCAAAAUUAUUGGCGGCCGGUACAUUGGCUUCGAGCGCAGCAGAAACGCGAACUCGGGCCCGUCGUAUUGGCUCCCAGAAGCUAUCUUCACAAUUUUGACCUCGGAUCAGGUAGGGAUACCCGCUGAACUUAAGCAUAUCAAUAAGCGGAGGA
rnacentral:misc_RNA from 1 species